GACGAACGCUGGCGGCGUGCUUAACACAUGCAAGUCGAACGGAAAGGCCCUGCUUUUGUGGGGUGCUCGAGUGGCGAACGGGUGAGUAACACGUGAGUAACCUGCCCUUGACUUUGGGAUAACUUCAGGAAACUGGGGCUAAUACCGGAUAGGAGCUCCUGCUGCAUGGUGGGGGUUGGAAAGUUUCGGCGGUUGGGGAUGGACUCACGGCUUAUCAGCUUGUUGGUGGGGUAGUGGCUUACCAAGGCUUUGACGGGUAGCCGGCCUGAGAGGUUGACCGGCCACCUUGGGACUGCGAGACGGCCCAGACUCCUACGGGAGGCAGCAGGGGGGAAUAUUGCACAAUGGGCGGAAGCCUGAUGCAGCAACGCCGCGUGCGGGAUGACGGCCUUCGGGUUGUAAACCGCUUUCGCCUGUGACGAAGCGUGAGUGACGGUAAUGGGUAAAGAAGCACCGGCUAACUACGUG
rnacentral:rRNA from 1 species